GGGUGUUGGUGUGAACAGCUGUGAUGUAUUGUCGUCUGGGGCGUGAUAAUACACCCGUGUCAUUAGGGGCUGGACGCCGCUAACGCGUGUUUGUGUGUGUUUGUUACGGUCAGCCUCCAUGUCUACCUGCUGCGGUCGUAAACGACGGCGGAUGAAGCGGACUGAACGCAGAGCGAGAAAAAAACGAAGGAGGAGUCUGUCAGGUAAAACGGUGGGGGGGGCGGUAGCUAGAAGGGUGAGAAAAAGGUGGAUGGAGGUUUUUGAUGUGUGGCGGCGGCGUUGGGGGGGAGGGGCAGUAAUGUAUCUAUUGAAGUUCAGGCCUCUGUGUUUGAUACACUACAUCUGUACCCCAUUUCCCUCCUCUCCCCCAGCUGUGCGCCCUCACGUGUACAGGAACAAUCAGACCCAGGACCAUAAAUACCCCCACCCCCUUCACUCCC